UAUGAAGUUUAAAGGAACCGAGGGAGAGAGAGACAAGGACUUCUGAUGAGAGGCGACCCCACCCAAGACAGCUGGAAGCCUUAACUGCUGGACUGCAGCAGUGCCUGGGGGCAGGGAUGGAUGAGAAGUCCGUGCUUCGCCCACCUAGAGGUCUGCAGUGCAUGGGGGGGGGGGCGGCAGCCCAGGCCUGACAACAGUCAGACUCCCAAUCAUCUUAAACGUCUGAAUCACACUAGCCUCCUAUAGGAACAGAUGAAACCUACCAACAAGGCUGUCUAGAAGGCAAACUGCAGGAUCUAGGACCUGGGGGAACCGGUAUCCACACCCACACCGCUGGACCCUUUCCUGUGUGUUAAGACCCAGUAACUCAACUUUCUCCGCAGCCCAGCAGAAUUGAGAAGCUGAAGCCACUGGGAUAGAAUUCAUCUGGUCAAUCUACGGCAGGGCAGAGAGAAGGUUCAGAGGAAGGACUUAGUGCGCGCUCCCUGUCCUCUGCGAUCCCAAAGAGGGUCUUCAUCCUUGUCCGUGAACUCUUUCUUGGACCCACUCCAGAUGUGAUGCUCCCCAACCCUUCCCAAACAGCAAGGCCCAGAAAUCGCUUUUGCUCUCCUGGAUGCCAGCCCACAGUCCCCUCCCCAGGAGAAGGCCAAGCCAGGCCAGGCAGGAAUACUGGCUUUCAGGAGUGCCAGCUUGCAGGCGAGCUUGGGACUCCUGGAAGUCUCAGGCCACCGGGUCUCCCGCUUUGCUCGUCCUUGGCGACCUGGGCUCCCGGACCUGCAACUCAGGCGGCAGUAGGCCGGGUCACGAGGAAGAGAGCUUCAGAUCGGCCCACGCGGGGCUGGGGCUGGGGCUGGGGUGGGGCUCAGUGGCUCCGGCUCCCCUGUGCUCCCCGCCCCCGCCGGCCAGCUCGCCCUUGCUCUGCCGGCGCGCGUUCCUCGGGCGCCACCUCUUUGCGACUAGCUCAUUUCUCAGCAGGUUGGCCCCAGAGCGUGUGAACCUUUUUGGUUUGGGCUCGCAGCUCCUCUCCAACCUGCGCCGCCCCAGCUGGGCCGCUCCGCCCCACCGCCGGAACCCGCCCUCGCGGCCACCUGGCCCUCGCAUCCACGACACGCGCGCCUGCAACUUGUUCAAGGGCGUUGUGGAAUCAACUUUCCGGAAGCAACCAGCCCACCGGAGGAGAGGAAGCUCUCCGGUUGCUUUUUCCCCUCUCGGGUCCCUUUUUGCCUGUGUGGUUUGGGAGAGGCACAGUUGGAGGCGCUGA
rnacentral:lncRNA from 1 species